CUUUGGGUAAUUCUAUAAAACACAGUGCAGUUGCUCUACUAAUGCUUUGUGCAUCCACGUCCGACAUCCGGAACUUGGCUCUAGGUUUCUGCCUCUUAAAAGGCAGUUUUUCCUUGCCCCCAUCGCCAAGUGC